rnacentral:tRNA from 1 species
AAGAACUUAGUUAAAAUUAUAACAUUAGAAUGUCAAACUGAAAUUAUUAAAAAAUUAAUAGUUCUUG